rnacentral:rRNA from 1 species
AUACGUAGGGGGCUAGCGUUAUCCGGAAUUACUGGGCGUAAAGGGUGCGUAGGUGGUUUCUUAAGUCAGAAGUGAAAGGCUACGGCUCAACCGUAGUAAGCUUUUGAAACUAAGAGACUUGAGUGCAGGAGAGGAGAGUAGAAUUCCUAGUGUAGCGGUGAAAUGCGUAGAUAUUAGGAGGAAUACCAGUUGCGAAGGCGGCUCUCUGGACUGUAGCUGACACUGAGGCACGAAAGCGUGGGGAGCAGACAGGAUGAGAGACCCGGGUUGUCCACGCCGUAAACGAUGAGUACUAGCUGUCGGGGGUUACCCCCCUCGGUGGCGCAGCUAACGCAUUAAGUACUCCGCCUGGGAAGUACGCUCGCAAGAGUGAAACUCAAAGGAAUUGACGGGG